rnacentral:rRNA from 1 species
UACGUAUGGGGCAAGCGUUAUCCGGAUUUACUGGGUGUAAAGGGAGCGCAGGCGGCCUGGCAAGCCUGAUGUGAAAUACCGGGGCCCAACCCCGGGGCUGCAUUGGGAACUGCCAGGCUGGAGUGCCGGAGAGGCAGGCGGAAUUUCUAGUGUAGCGGUGAAAUGCGUAGAUAUUAGGAGGAACACCAGUGGCGAAGGCGGCCUGCUGGACGGUGACUGACGCUGAGGCUCGAAAGCGUGGGGAGCAAACAGG